UGGGGAAUUUUGGACAAUGGGCGAAAGCCUGAUCCAGCAAUGCCGCGUGUGUGAAGAAGGCCUUCGGGUUGUAAAGCACUUUUGUCCGGAAAGAAAUGGCUCUGGUUAAUACCUGGGGUCGAUGACGGUACCGGAAGAAUAAGGACCGGCUAACUACGUGCCAGCAGCCGCGGUAAUACGUAGGGUCCAAGCGUUAAUCGGAAUUACUGGGCGUAAAGCGUGCGCAGGCGGUUGUGCAAGACCGAUGUGAAAUCCCCGAGCUUAACUUGGGAAUCGCAUUGGUGACUGCACGGCUAGAGUGUGUCAGAGGGGGGUAGAAUUCCACGUGUAGCAGUGAAAUGCGUAGAGAUGUGGAGGAAUACCGAUGGCGAAGGCAGCCCCCUGGGAUAACACUGACGCUCAUGCACGAAAGCGUGGGGAGCAAACAGG
rnacentral:rRNA from 2 species